CUGGCUUUUUCCCGGACUCCCCAGAUCAUCUUACACCGAAUAGAUCGCCAACGACAUAACGUUUAUAAGAAGCUAUGUGACCUGGAGAGGAGCUCCACUCUGGACCAGGAGGAGUUAGAACCUCUGCAGGGGAAACAAGAACAAGAAGAGCCAGAUGAUCAACAGAGAAAAGAAGAGCAGGAGGAUCUAAAACAUCAGCAGAUAAAAGUGGAAGGGAAAGAAGUUUACUGCAGUCAGAGUGAAGAACAGGUUGCAUCAAAACAGGAGACUGAUACCUUCAUGGGGUCUACUGUUUAUGAGCAAACACACCAAGUCAACUUCCAGGAAGCUGCUGAAGCUGAGAAGAAAAAUCAGGAAAGAAGCAAACCUUUCUCAUGUGUCAUCUGUGAAAAAAGUUUCACUACCAAAUAUGCUCUCAAUGAUCAUAUUAGAAUUCACACUCGUAAAAAGCUGUUUCCAUGUGUGAACUGCGGAAAAAGGUUUAGUCAUAAACAGAAUUUGACUAAGCACAUGAUGAUUCACACUGGUGAAAAGCCUUUUUCAUGUGGGAACUGUGGAAAAUGUUUUAGUC